UACGAAGGGGGCUAGCGUUGCUCGGAAUCACUGGGCGUAAAGCGCACGUAGGCGGAUCGUUAAGUCGGGGGUGAAAUCCUGGAGCUCAACUCCAGAACUGCCUUUGAUACUGAAGAUCUUGAGUUCGGGAGAGGUGAGUGGAACUGCGAGUGUAGAGGUGAAAUUCGUAGAUAUUCGCAAGAACACCAGUGGCGAAGGCGGCUCACUGGCCCGAUACUGACGCUGAGGCACGAAAGCGUGGGGAGCAAACAGG
rnacentral:rRNA from 1 species